rnacentral:rRNA from 1 species
AGUGAACGCUGGCGGUAGGCCUAACACAUGCAAGUCGAACGGCAGCACAGUAAGAGCUUGCUCUUACGGGUGGCGAGUGGCGGACGGGUGAGGAAUACAUCGGAAUCUACUUUUUCGUGGGGGAUAACGUAGGGAAACUUACGCUAAUACCGCAUACGACCUACGGGUGAAAGCAGGGGAUCUUCGGACCUUGCGCGAUUGAAUGAGCCGAUGUCGGAUUAGCUAGUUGGCGGGGUAAAGGCCCACCAAGGCGACGAUCCGUAGCUGGCCUGAGAGGAUGAUCAGCCACACUGGAAUUGAGACACGGUCCAGACUCCUACGGGAGGCAGCAGUGGGGAAUAUUGGACAAUGGGCGCAAGCCUGAUCCAGCCAUACCGCGUAGGUGAAGAAGGCCUUCGGGUUGUAAAGCCCUUUUGUUGGGAAAGAAAAGCAGCAGGUUAAUACCCCGCUGUUCUGACGGUACCCAAAGAAUAAGCACCGGCUAACUUCGUG